GAUGAACGCUAGCGGCAGGCCUAAUACAUGCAAGUCAAGGGGCCCAGCAAUGGGCACCGGCGCACGGGUGCGUAACGCGUACACAACCUACCCUCAAGAGGGGGAUAGCGGCGGGAAACUGCCGGUAAUACCCCAUAGUAUUAUUGGAUCACCUGAUUUGAUAAUUAAAGUUACGGCGCUUGAGGAUGGGUGUGCGUAUGAUUAGCUAGUUGGUGAGGUAACGGCUCACCAAGGCUACGAUCAUUAGGGGGUGUGAGAGCAUGACCCCCCACACGGGUACGUGAGACACGGACCCGACUCCUACGGGAGGCAGCAGUAAGGAAU
rnacentral:rRNA from 1 species